rnacentral:rRNA from 1 species
UACGAAGGGGGCUAGCGUUGCUCGGAAUGACUGGGCGUAAAGGGCGCGUAGGCGGCUCAUACAGUCAGGCGUGAAAUUCCUGGGCUCAACCUGGGGACUGCGCUUGAGACGUGUGGGCUUGAGUGGGGAAGAGGGUCGUGGAAUUCCCAGUGUAGAGGUGAAAUUCGUAGAUAUUGAGAGGAACACCGGUGGCGAAGGCGGCCAACUGGACGAGUACUGACGCUGAGACACGAAAGCGUGGGGAGCAAACAGG